rnacentral:rRNA from 1 species
GACGAACGCUGGCGGCGUGCCUAAUACAUGCAAGUCGUGCGGACCUUGUUGAAAGCUUGCUUUUAAAAGGUUAGCGGCGGACGGGUGAGUAACACGUGGGCAACCUGCCUGUAAGACUGGGAUAACGCCGGGAAACCGGGGCUAAUACCAGAUCGUUUUUUCCUCCGCAUGGAGGAAAAAGGAAAGGCGGCUUCGGCUGCCACUUACAGAUGGGCCCGCGGCGCAUUAGCUAGUUGGCGGGGUAAUGGCCCACCAAGGCAACGAUGCGUAGCCGACCUGAGAGGGUGAUCGGCCACAUUGGGACUGAGACACGGCCCAAACUCCUACGGGAGGCAGCAGUAGGGAAUCUUCCGCAAUCGACGAAAGUCUGACGGAGCAACGCCGCGUGAGUGAAGAAGGCCUUCGGGUCGUAAAACUCUGUUGCCGGGGAAGAACAAGUGCCGUUCGAACAGGGCGGCGCCUUGACGGUACCCGGCCAGAAAGCCACGGCUAACUACGUG